rnacentral:rRNA from 1 species
GAUGAACGCUGGCGGCGUGCCUAAUACAUGCAAGUCGAGCGAACGGACGAGAAGCUUGCUUCUCUGAUGUUAGCGGCGGACGGGUGAGUAACACGUGGAUAACCUACCUAUAAGACUGGGAUGACUUCGGGAAACCGGAGCUAAUACCGGAUAAUAUUUUGAACCGCAUGGUUCAAAAGUGAAAGACGGUCUUGCUGUCACUUAUAGAUGGAUCCGCGCUGCAUUAGCUAGUUGGUAAGGUAACGGCUUACCAAGGCAACGAUGCAUAGCCGACCUGAGAGGGUGAUCGGCCACACUGGAACUGAGACACGGUCCAGACUCCUACGGGAGGCAGCAGUAGGGAAUCUUCCGCAAUGGGCGAAAGCCUGACGGAGCAACGCAGCGUGAGUGAUGAAGGUCUUCGGAUCGUAAAACUCUGUUAUUAGGGAAGAACAUAUGUGUAAGUAACUGUGCACAUCUUGACGGUACCUAAUCAGAAAGCCACGGCUAACUACGUG